AAUGGAACAUUACAUUUCGUAGCACCGACGAAACUUGUUGGUUUCGAUCACUUUUCAACGAAAACACUGAAAAUAGUAAUUUGGCCUACUGCAACGAUGUGAAGGUAUUGUUUGAACAUCUUGGAUAUAGCCAUGUUCCAGAAGAUAGACGAUUAUUUAUUGACGGUUCAACAAAAAGUCUGAAAGCAGUGCUUUUGCAUAAUGAUGGAUCGCUUCCUUCGGUACCAUUGGCUACUACAUUGACUACUAAUUGGGGCUGAUUUGAAAGUACUAACAAUUUUGAAUGGUCCGCAAGGUGGUACCACAAAGUAUUCUUGCUAUUUUUAUGAACCCGAUAGACUCUUCUUAACAGUGCGUACAAAGAGACUGGAAACUGAGAUCAACAGCUAAAAUUGAUGAAAAAAUAGCAUAAAUAUUUGGGCUUAAUAAAGCAAUUCGUGAAAGAAUUUUAUAAAAAUGGAGCAACAUUCCAAUACAUUGAACAGGUUUUACCACGGAUUACGAGCGGAAAAUUAAAAGAAGGUGAAACAUAUAUUAUAUUAUAUAAAACAUCAAUAAAAAGCAAUUUAAUUUUAAA
rnacentral:sRNA from 1 species